rnacentral:lncRNA from 10 species
ACGUUUUUAAAGCCCCAAAACUAGGAUAUUGUGACACAGAAUGUUUUUUAUUCAGUGCUGAGAUGGGAGUUUAUCCCAAGCGACUGUCCUGGCCCCUCAUACAAUUAUAGUGGUGACCAGUCAGGGGCUGUGGGUGAGGAGACCUGCCAGAGGUGGCUGGAGGCACUUUAUUGCCAGCCUGGCGGGCUGGCGAGCGCCAAUGAAGUAAAAUCUGGUGACACACUUGAGUUUGCAUGCGGUGAGAACACCCAGCAGGACCUAAUGGUGCACAAGCUCAUUUUAACAAUAUAAACAAUAGAAUGACAGUGAGAUGCGUUUCAGCAAGGCCAGUAUCACAGAAGCCAUUCUGUAUUUUGGUUUUUGUAGCAGCUGUGUAGGUAGGCUACCAGCUCCUUACUUCCAGUAAGUGGAUGUCUCCAUUAAUUUCCAGCGUGUCAAUACUGCUGAGCUCUUUAAAUCUGUGUUUGUACUCCAGGCUGUGUACGCCAUUUACUGCAACCUUGAAUUCUCUAACAUCACAAUAAAUUAUCAUCUGAAAGGAAAGGAUACAUGCCAUUAGUGGUUCCCCUUAGUUUAAAAUUUUGUGUUUGUUACAUGCUAACGGUGUCAGAGUAAACCAUUUGAUUAUACAUAGAAAAGUUCCAGCCUGCUGCUGCUGACUUCCUUCUGACUUCCAAGACCCUAAUCUAACUAAAGUGUCCCUGGUGGUGGCACUGUCUGCCUCAUCCCACCCAGGGAAGUGACUCGGACAUGUUUGGAGCCUCACACCAUCCCCAGGGCCUGCGGCCCUCCUUUCCUCAACACAGCCCCUCUCCCUCGGCCGCAUCCUGCCCCUUGCUCCUGGAAAGCCAGAGUGCUGCCCCUCCUCGCCGAUGCUGGGGACUCUCCUAAAGCAGGAAAACUCACUCCUAAUAUGGUUGCUUUAGUUCACCGAGAUGCUGUUUCCAGCUGUAGCCUGGAACCAAGGGACUUGGAUCCUGACUGACUUUUCUGCCUCAAACUCUAGGACCAUGAACAAACCAGACAAUUAAUAUGAAAUUUCAGCAGCUUAAGGCACUUGCUAGGGUUUUUACAGCUGCUUGGUGAUCCUGAUCCUGAUAAGCUCAGCACAUCUUGGCCUCAGUGUGUUUGUCCAAAGCCGUCAAAGCUGGGUAUCCCGUAAGUUGGAAGUGGUGCACAUACUACAAAUUCAGAUCCAUCGGCAGUGUUCGCCCUUCACAGUCAUCUAUGCCCAAAACUCAAACAAUGAAAAACCAAAAAACCUACUAGCCUUUUACAUCACCUUUACACCUACACUUCAUACUUCUGGUGCCACGCUGCCAGUGCCAGGCUGGGUUUCCACCCACUCUGAGAAGGCCACUGGGAGGCCCUGCACUGAGCUCUCCCUGUGCUCCUCGCCCCCAUGAAGGCUUCAGAAGAAAGAGGGGCAGCUCAGCCUUGCUGCUAACCCGGCCCCACCCCGAGAGGCCAGAAUGAAGCACAAAACCUGAAUCUGCAAAGCAGCAAGUUGAGGGUUUCCAUUCUUUUGAUAGGAGCA